AAAAAAUUCAGGCCAAACAGGCAUGAAAACAGCUUUUACAAACCCACUGCAAAUGUUUUAUUGAAAGUAUAAUCUAUCAAAUGCAAUUAACUAAUCAUCUAAUACCUUUAAAUAUUAAGUGUCUGUAUCCAUCUCUUUUUCAGUCUAUGGCCAGAAAACAUCCCGCUCCAAUGCAACCUGUUGAGCUUCCUCACGCACCCUUUCAAGAAGCUGCGGUGGAUAUCAUGGGACAGUUUGUAAAAAUGGAGAAGAUGGAGAGAACCCAUACUAUGCAGGUGCCAGAAACACCCACCCAUGGCAUGCUGCAUAGGAAGGAGUUAACACACCCGCAACACUCUCUUUUUCCCCCUUUUUUGUCUUUUCUUCCCUCUCUCUCCCUCCCUCUUUUUUCCAAUCUCUCCUUCUUUUACUUUCCACCUCCUUCACUGUGAACUAAUACCAGCACAUAGCACAUCACUUCAACACAGAAAUCUCACUCACACACGGACACAUGGCCAUGUACACACUCUCUUUCUCACACACAUGCACACACAUAUGGACACUCAUUCCUGUUACCCAGUGUUCAUUCCUGUUACAAAGUGCUCAUUCCUGUUACUAAAUUGUUUUUUUGUUUUUUUUUCUAAAAAAAAAAUAAAGUUAAACAACUGUUUUUUA